rfam:Candidatus Falkowbacteria bacterium CG1_02_41_21 cg1_0.2_scaffold_6718_c, whole genome shotgun sequence.
GGAGAGUUCGCAUAGUGGUCGAGUGCGCUCGCUUGGAAAGCGAGUAAACCUUAAUCGGUUUCGGGAGUUCGAAUCUCCCACUCUCCG